UACGAAGGGGGCGAGCGUUGUUCGGAUUUACUGGGCGUAAAGGGCGCGCAGGCGGCCGCAUUUGUCAGGCGUGAAAGCCCCGGGCUUAACCUGGGAACUGCGUUUGAUACGGUGUGGCUAGAGUUCGGGAGAGGAGAGUGGAAUUCCCAGUGUAGAGGUGAAAUUCGUAGAUAUUGGGAAGAACACCGGUGGCGAAGGCGGCUCUCUGGACCGGUACUGACGCUGAGGUGCGAAAGCGUGGGGAGCAAACAGG
rnacentral:rRNA from 1 species